UACAGAUCCGAACGUGACUGCUGCAGUUGAGAGAGAGAAAUGUGAUAAUUUAUGCUGCUGCUGCUCUUGCUUUUCAGGAGAGUGGAACAUGGCGCAUGUAGUUUGUUGUUGGUCAUAAAUCAUCAAAGCAGGAAUACCACAGUUUGAGUCAUAAUACCCGUAAACCACGGAAAUGGUUCCAAUCGUUUUUGCACCAUUCAUUUUUCGGUAGUGGUCAAGGGAAGAUAAUUUAACGUUGGCGAUUAUCGUCUGACAACACGAACGAUGAGCUAACAUUUAACUAGCAAGCUAAACGUUAGAUAAAUAUCCAUGCCCUGAUGGACUAACAUUGCCUAGUACAUCACCGUGUGGAAAAGUGACUAACUUACACGAACGAUGGGUGGACCGGAAACCCAGUGACAACACUCAGGUCUGUAGCUGCCAUUUUCCAGUGGGAAAGAGAAAUGGCCCUAUAUUUACCAGAAAAGGUAGCUCAUCCACCAUGGCAGAAGUGGAAGAUCCAGAUGGUUGAUUGGGAAACAAGAACAAAAAAUGAGGCAUGAGGAUUGGUUGUUGAAGGACUGCUUGUCAUAUUGUCCAAGUCCAACAGGAGUGCAUCUCUCAGACAAUCUGGUGCAUGGACAUCUAGUACCAGUGUGAUCCGAGCAGGAGUGUCCAUUUGUACAGCACAUCGAGCCUGUGGACGGACAGACAUGAGGCGUGACAUGUGGAACAUCAGGCUCACCCCACGACAAGCAGUGCAUGAUCAACACCACCCUCGGCAAGGAGAUCUGUUGCAUAAUUUUAACAUCACAAAUAUAUAUUCCCACUGAGCCCAUGAUAAAAUGCAAUGUGAAUUGUGUCGUACUUCUGAAUGAAACUGUGAGGAGAUGCACUCAGACCAGCCUUUGUGAUUGAACUUAUGUUAACCUCAUUACUUUAGUUGGCUGCUUUGAGCAAAACUUAAAUGUAAUAUAGCCUAUUCUAGGAGCCUAUUGUUUGUGUAUGAUCUUUAUUCAUUGUUCACUUGUUUUUCAACAUUAUCAAGUACAGGCAGGGAUGACUGGGGCCUUCAGCAAGUAAGACACGGGAUAAGAAAUAAUUUCAACAUCACAGAUAUAAAUUCCCACUGUGCCCAUAAGAGUGAACUAUAUGGAAUAUUUCUGGACCUUUGGCUUCUCUGAAAACAGGUACUGGCAGGAGGAUCAAUAUGAGUCUGAGGUCGUCAUGCUGGAUGGUGAUGGAGGCUUUGGUGGUUCACACAACGAAGAAGCAGGUGUUCCUUCCUGUGAUGUGGAGCUGACCUUUGACCUGGUGCCAGUGAGGGAGGUCUUCCCUCCCUCCUUCAUAUAAAAAUCCUUCGACUUCACUGCCUCUCCAAUGGUAAGGUCCCUUGCACCAUAGGGACACUUGACCUCCACCACUGCUGUGGUACACCAGUAGGCGCCCAGGAGCCCCCGACCCAAAGCCCUGACUCCUGCACAUCCAUCCCUGUAGCCAUUUUAAAUGCCUUGAUGCCAUCCUCUUCGUUAUCUGUGCCCCACUUUAGAGACAGCACCCCAUCCAAUGACUGAUCUGAGAACCCUUUGUAGCAGCGAUGUAGUAACGCGCUUGGCCCUAACCACUGUUCCAUAAUUGCUGGCUGUCAACUUCCCUCCUCAUGGUGUGCCAGUUGGGGUUGGUGCGCUAUCCAACUGUUGCCUGCCGUAUAGCCUCCUGCUGCUACACCGGCAGCGCCAUGCCAGCCAGGAUGCCUGCGUGCCCUUGUUUUUAAAUUUUUGAACAAUGUCCGGUACAGACAGGGAUCACAGGGAGGGUAGCGGUUGUUCUGGCUCAGGUUCAAGGAGACAUGCUAUUCCACUGAACCUGCCACGGAGAUGGUUCCUUAGCCAUUGAAUAUCCUCCUCUGUGGGCUCUCGGGACAGAGGUUUGAAGUCUUCGACUUUACAAUGGUCCCGUGUGGCUCAGUUGGUAGAGCAUGGCGCUUGCAACGCCAGGAUUGUGGGUUCGAUUCCCACGGGGGGCCAGUACAAAAAAGUAUGAAUGUAUGUACUUGUAAGUCGCUCUGGAUAAGAGCGUCUGCUAAAUGACUUAAAUGUAAAUGUAAGAGUUGUUGCCCUGUCCCUUUCUCUGUGAUCAUCAUUCUAAUGGGAUCCAGAAAGAACAAAUCCCUGUCCUCAAACAUUUACAUCAAAAGGUGCAAAUGUAUGGGCAAAGACACAAAACAUACGCAUCAAAUUAAAUAUUUUCCUUGAUCAAAUAACAUGGAAAACAA